GUCCCUGUAGUGCAAUGGAUAGCACGUUGGGAUUCUCAUCCCAAGUUAAUGGAUUCGAAUUCCCUCUGGGAUG